GACCGCAUAGCUCAGUUGUCAGAGCAUUGGACUAGUAUUCCAAAGGUCGUAGGUUCAGUUCCCACCGUGGCCA